rnacentral:rRNA from 1 species
GACGAACGCUGGCGGCGUGCCUAAUACAUGCAAGUAGAACGCUGAAGGAGGAGCUUGCUUCUCCGGAUGAGUUGCGAACGGGUGAGUAACGCGUAGGUAGCCUGCCUGGUAGCGGGGGAUAACUAUUGGAAACGAUAGCUAAUACCGCAUAAGAGUAGAUGUUGCAUGACAUUUGCUUAAAAGGUGCAAUUGCAUCACUACCAGAUGGACCUGCGUUGUAUUAGCUAGUUGGUGGGGUAACGGCUCACCAAGGCGACGAUACAUAGCCGACCUGAGAGGGUGAUCGGCCACACUGGGACUGAGACACGGCCCAGACUCCUACGGGAGGCAGCAGUAGGGAAUCUUCGGCAAUGGACGAAAGUCUGACCGAGCAACGCCGCGUGAGUGAAGAAGGUUUUCGGAUCGUAAAGCUCUGUUGUAAGAGAAGAACGAGUGUGAGAGUGGAAAGUUCACAGUGUGACGGAUCUACCAGAA